UCCGCCCUCCUCCCUCACUCCUCCCGCGGUAGCGAGCGUCCUCCGCCCGCAGCUCCCGCAGCGCCCGCGGCGGCAGGAGGGGUGAAGGGCCCAGGGAGUCACGUGUGGCGUUCGCCAAACCACUCAGAGCGGCGUAUGAGUGAACCGGCACGGCUGUCCAGACGCGAGGCCUCGGACGCUCUGAGUUUCACUGUUCUCGGCGUCGUUGUGCUUGGGCUCCAGGCGUUUUCGUCUUGGUGACGGAGAGAGCGGAGUUGGAGGCAACAGCCUUCCACUGUGCCUCUUCUUCACCCCGCCCACCCCCCCACCCCCUCACCCCCUCACCCCCUCACCCCCUCACCCCCCCACCCCCUCACCCCCCCACCCCCUCCCCCCCCCACCCCCUCACCCCCCAGCUUUUUGGUAAAUCUCUUGCCACCAAACUCCCCUCUGUUUCCUCUGCUUCCUCCAGCUAGAGGCAGAGUAAUCUCUGAAUUGAAGCGUUCGUUGGCUGUAGCCUGUUCCGUGCGAGUAGUGUAAACGCAACGCCACUGCCUUUGGCCUCUCCCUCCUGGCUGUGCCCACAGCUUCUGCCGCUGGAUAGGUGAUUUUUAAAAAAUCACAGCUAAUCAUUGUUGGCUUUUGUGACGGGUGUGACUCACUAUAGCACAUUGUUUACACCUACCCGCCUCCCACUAGCCUCUCUGUGUGAAUUUUUAAAUGCAAGUGAGUUGAAGAUAGGCCGGUGCCUACAGAACCACUAAGUUAACUGAUUGCCACCUGUAAUAAUCAUAACCCAAAAGGAAAACCUAGCAGUAGAAAAUCGCUGUGUACCAUGCCCAACUUGCACAAGUUUGUCUCAUUUGACAACCUGAACCCUUUGAAAUUUGUCUGGAAUUUCCUAAGAAAGUUGAGAAGCUUCCUUCCAAUGCAUACUAAUAAAGAUGGCAGGCAUGGAGACUAUAGAAAGCUUCUCUCAGUGGUGCAGGCCUGGAGGAAGGAAAAGCUCCUUUCCACAGAAAAACCAGGAAGCCCCAGCUAGACCCUAGCCCUUAUAAAACAGAAGUCUUCAGCCCCUGGAGGAGCAUGUAGCAAACUAUUGCUCCCAGAGCACAGUGGAAGAAGACCUAUUACAGCUGAGAAAUGGAUAUGAAAAGGAGCCCUCUACCCUACAUUGCAGAUGAUGCCAGAUACAUCUGACAAAGUGUUGGAUUUUUCUUCUCUGAUGUCAGAUUUUAGAUCUUUUGCUUUUUUAAAAUAAAGAUAUAAUAAUGCAUAACAUUGAAUGACUUCUUGAAUGGUUUAACUUAAAUUUAACUAUCAAAUAAAAGGUUAGAGAGAUUUAGCCAACUGGUAGUGUUCUUACUCUUCAGAAAACCACCCUUUUCACUGUUGCUGUAUUAUUAUUUUGGCUUUUACUGCUGUUACUUUAAAAAAUUAUUAUUCAUUUAAUAUCAAUGACACAAUGCCCAUAUGCCUUCUUAUUAGCCUGCAUACUUAUCCACAUUUACAUGUUAUACUAUGACUAUAAAAAGGUAAUAUUCUCCGUCAUGUUAAAAACUUCUGUUAGGGUGAGAAAAGUGUAUUCCUAAACUAUCAAAGUCUUGAUCAUUCCCUGAAGAGAAUGCUGUACUACUGCUGACAUGAAAACAGGCUCACUUUUCUCCAAACUCUCCCUAAGUUUGACUCUCAGUAUAACUCCAGGCGCAAGUGAAUACUUCCCCAGUGGCUCUUCCCAGUUGUGAAGAGGCUGGGAAUGUUUGCAGGCCUCUCCCACUGAGACUGUUAUUUUAGCCUCAUUAUUAAAACAGGUUGUACUAUCUAAGUUGCUAGAUUGUUUAGAGGUUAAAUGAAAUAAUGAGGUAAGAAUUCAGAAUGAAACCAAUACCCAUUAGGAACUGUAAUUAAGGACUAUUUUUAUCCCAGCAAGUUAAAUGCCCUCAAUAGCUUGUUCUGAGUAUUAAGCAACUGGGAUUACACCCUGGAGGUUAACCUCAAGAGCCAAAUAUUUUCCUGCUAUUGCCUAGGGAGAAUUCACCACUAAAAAAUUACCUCAAAGAACCAAUCAAAACAGCAGAAGAAUUCAGGAAUGUACUCUCUAAAUGCUGUCUAAUAGUCUCGCCUGUAUUUCUAAGAUGGUAGCCUCAAAAAGUAUCAGUUUAACUGUGGCCCAUGCCCAUUUCAUUCUUGGUCACUGGACAAAUGUAAGAUGGCUCUAGUGAGCUACUUGCUCAAUCCUAGUAUUCACACACAACCAUGUGAUUUCUUCAUUUGCCUUUUUUUUUUUUUUUCAAAUUGAUGUUCCUUUCAAUCCAACCUUAAUUUCUCUAGAAUCCUAGUUUGUGGUAAAUAUAUUUAUCUACAUAUGAUUUACUUCAUGUUUUUUCAAACUCCCUACAUCAACUAAAACCAAGUUGGAACAUAGGUUCCCCUGAAGACAAGUCAAGUGGUGACUGUUCAUAUUCCUACACCCUGAUUCUGUUACCUCAGAGUGCAGAAAGGACAAAAUCUCUUAGCUCACCAUUGCUGCCUCCAGAUACAUUACUUUUUCUCUUAAAUGUAAAAUAUUUCCUCACUUGAUGCAUAAACAUUUGUCACCCAU
ensembl:lncRNA